GACGAACGCUGGCGGCGUGCUUAACACAUGCAAGUCGAACGGAAAGGCCCUGCUUUUGUGGGGUGCUCGAGUGGCGAACGGGUGAGUAACACGUGAGUAACCUGCCCUUGACUUUGGGAUAACUUCAGGAAACUGGGGCUAAUACCGGAUAUGAGCUCCUGCUGCAUGGUGGGGGUUGGAAAGUUUCGGCGGUUGGGGAUGGACUCGCGGCUUAUCAGCUUGUUGGUGGGGUAGUGGCUUACCAAGGCUUUGACGGGUAGCCGGCCUGAGAGGGUGACCGGCCACAUUGGGACUGAGAUACGGACCAGACUCCUACGGGAGGCAGCAGUGGGGAAUAUUGCACAAUGGGCGGAAGCCUGAUGCAGCAACGCCGCGUGCGGGAUGACGGCCUUCGGGUUGUAAACCGCUUUCGAAUGUGACGAAGCGUGAGUGACGGUAAUGGGUAAAGAAGCAACGGCUAACUACGUG
rnacentral:rRNA from 1 species